GUAGGUGGCAAGCGUUGUCCGGAAUUAUUGGGCGUAAAGCGCGCGCAGGCGGUUCUUUAAGUCUGAUGUGAAAGCCCACGGCUCAACCGUGGAGGGUCAUUGGAAACUGGAGAACUUGAGUACGGAAGAGGAAAGCGGAAUUCCACGUGUAGCGGUGAAAUGCGUAGAGAUGUGGAGGAACACCAGUGGCGAAGGCGGCUUUCUGGUCUGUAACUGGCGCUGAGGCGCGAAAGCGUGGGGAGCAAACAGGGAUUAGAUACCCUGGUAGUCCACGCCGUAAACGAUGAGUGCUAAGUGUUAGGGGGUUUCCCGCCCCUUAGUGCUGCAGCUAACGCAUUAAGCACUCCGCCUGGGGAGUACGGCCGCAAGGCUG
rnacentral:rRNA from 1 species